rnacentral:rRNA from 1 species
UACGUAGGGUGCGAGCGUUAAUCGGAAUUACUGGGCGUAAAGCGUGCGCAGGCGGUUUCUUAAGCCAGAUGUGAAAGCCCCGGGCUUAACCUGGGAAUUGCGUUUGGAACUGGGAGACUAGAGUGUGGCAGAGGGAGGUAGAAUUCCACGUGUAGCAGUGAAAUGCGUAGAGAUGUGGAGGAAUACCGAUGGCGAAGGCAGCCUCCUGGGCCAACACUGACGCUCAUGCACGAAAGCCAGGGGAGCGAACGGG